GGCUUCUUUCUGCUCUGAUGAAUACAUUCUAAAGAGGCCGUGACAUUAUUCGAGAUAACAGAGAACAGAGAAAGGGUCAGCGAUGGAGAGAAAAUGGCAGAGCCGGCAAUGAAGGGGAGGCCGACGUGGGUGACGUGCCCUGCCUCAGGUGUUGCUGUUCCCAUUUCACAGAUGAGGAUGCUGAGGCCCAGAGAGAUGAAGUGGUGUCCCAAGACCAGCCAGCUGCCCCAGCUCCGAGCCUGCCAUCCGCCAGUCCUUGGAGGGGAGUCGCGGCAUGAGCAAGGGAGCGGACCGAGCCCGGGCAUCCUGCCUGCCCUCCACGGCUGACUCCGGCUGCCCUGACGACCGACCGUGGCCACCCCGGGCCCCAGUGGCAUUUGGGCGAGGCAGGUCCCCAGGGCCGUCUGCCCUGCGGUUCUUCUCCGAAAGAAGUGGUGUUGAUGUCAGCAGAUGCCUGUCACUUCCCUUCCCCGGCACAAUCUCAACUGUCAGAUGCUGUGUCAGCCGCGAAACCCGCCGUUCCUGCCUGCAGGGUUGGAGUGAGAGGAGUCCAGCCGUCUGCGCACCGACUCUGUGGCCCUGGGAAGGAGCAGUUGUAAGGCACCCAUUUUACAGGUGAGGAAACCGAGGCCUUGGGAAGCAAGGUUUCUUGCGGAGGUCACAGAGCCAGCCUGCAGUCUGUCAGAUUGAGUCCCCUCCCUCAACCUGCUCCGAGCCUGGUCCUGUCUCCUCCUGGCUGCAUGUAUGAGAAGAAG